UGGGAGCUCCUUUUUGUCGCACAAAAUAGGCUCCUUCACAAGGCAUCGGUGAGUGGGAUGAUAGGAAUAAGUUUUUGAGUUUAAAUUCAAACCUUUUGAAUUCAAUUUAAAACAAACCUAAUCCACUUCAAAGAGGAUGACAAAAAGGGGUUUAGCUUCAGGUUUUUUUAUGCACAAAUUGGUUUUGUGCGAUGAGAAAAGGGUGAGUCUUUCUGGGUGGCGCAAGGG
rnacentral:lncRNA from 1 species